GGCGUUAGAACGAUGAUAAGAAGACGAGAGAACUUUACACACGAUAUGGAAGUUCACGGUAGUUGAUAGAUAAAACAAGAUUGCUUAUUGUGCACGCGUGUACUUACACGAUCCGGGAGCUUAUCUUAUCGGCCAGCCAUUGGACCUGAUGAAUCGACAUGAUAAUGAGUGACGCUUCACUCAACGCUGCAGCUCCGAAAACUACCGAAAUAGUUACCGAAAUUAGACGAACUUAGCCGAAUAGUCGUCGAAAACGAACGAAGAUGAUCGAACGAAAGAAAAUUGCCAUUUUUACCGAACGAACUUCUUUAACGAAGAUUUCAACGUAUCGAUAUUUAAUCAAAUUAAAUUUAAAUUAACUUCUAAAUCAUUCUCUACGAUUAUUUAUGAUAUUAUUUAUCGUCGAAUAUAAUAGACAUUGAGUCAAAGUUUAUUGGUCGAGAUCAAGAUAUUCAAUUUAUCUUGAAAUAUUUUUCACAUUUUUAUGAUCUUUAUUUUUACACGCACCUUUUUCUGAAUUCCGUCGAAACUUGUUUUAACAAUAUUGUAACAAUAUUAUUGCUUUUCAGAUUUUUCAGUCUGGUUUAUUACAUAUCGUACCAAUCCAAUUUAUUUUUUUCUCUUCCACAUGCAUCGUGUCUUUUCGUCUUACAACUCGUUUACAGGUUCAAUCGUUUUACGAUAAAUAUUUCGUAAUCUCUCUGCUCGAUGUAUCAAAGAUCUUUAUCAAUAUCUUGCAGCAAUUGGAUAUAAAAAGAAGGAAAAGAAGAAUUGGGAACGAACAAGUAGAUCCGACUCGAGAAAUGUACAUAUAUUCUUCGGAGGGAACGUUAUAUCAUUCUCGAUUAAGGAUGAUACCGUCCCUCUUGCUUUUGAUUAUUACACAAUCGGGCAAUUAUUAAUACGUUGGGCCAACCAGAUGAUGGCGCGAUGAUGAUGGGAAGCAUUUGAAAACGAGAUCAGUCUCGAAGCUCGAUUACUCCUUUGAAUAUUCUGCUUUUAAAUCAUAACAACAAUUUAUUCGUUAUGUAAUAUACAUUACUAAAUAUUAUAUUAUUUGCCUCACAUUUUUUCCACACAUCGACAAUAGACAAAAAAAAAAAAUUCUUUUGUAAUAUAAUGUUUAGAUUUUGACCUUAUUUAUUUCUACGAAUCUUCAAUUUAUCGAUAUAUAUUGAACUUAUCAUUGAUUCCAAACCACUUCAAUCGAUCACGUGUACAAAAUCGUUUCAAUCGUAUUGAAGUAAACGAAUAGAUAGAUAGAUUUCAAAUGACAUACUUUCAGAAUUACUUUCAAGAUAUAAUAAUAAAAUGAAAACGAAAGAGAAAAAAAAUUUUUGGUAUUUUAAAAAUGAAAUUUGUAUGAAAAUUUAUACACACGCACACGGAUAUUUCAGAAUUACUUAUUUACGCGUAUAUAAUUACAUAAGAAAUAUGAUUACAUAAGAAAAUAUUCAAAUAUGCGUAUUCAGUCAAGAUUAUAAUGUUAUAUAUUGGUCGACGUGCAUAUUUGCAUAUUUAUAGAAGUACGUUUUUUCUUCGACAUGUUAUUAAUUAUCGCUCAUUAUAAUUUCAUUCCGCGUAACAAGUCACGUAAGAAAAUUCCUUCCACUUCGAACCCUGUGCCAUUUCCUCCCCUCCUCCAUUCCUUUAAUUCUUUUUUCCCUUUUCCCAAUCGGACAAUACGGGCCAUUGAUGGAUAUUGUUCCUUCCUGGAACGAUCACUACGAGACAAGCGAGCCGUUGUCUUCGAGAGGCAUCGAUGCACAGGACUUUCUUCAACCGAGUUGUCGAUCCGGCCAGAUAUCUUUCUAAAACGGUUCUGGCUCUCGGCCAAAGUGUCUCGAAAACGUCAACCGAAAUCCACGAGUGCGGGAGAUGGUAUCGUAAAAAGUCACGGGAGCUCUAACUUUAUUCUCGAUGGACAAAUUUUUGCACACGAGGUUUCUACGAUAAUCAAUUCUCGGCUCUUUUUAAAGAAUAAUUAAUUUUUCACAUUUCACAAAUGAAAAUUGAUAUUUAUUUCGACAAUUUAUCACUUAACUUCCGCCAUGACAGUUCUUCGAUAAAUCCUGUACGAGACUACAUCAUCUAACUUUCUUGCAAUCCGAGCGUCAUCUUCAGUCAGUCUGAUUAACCAGAGUAAAAAUGGCGGCACAACGGUCGAACGAAUUUAUUUGCCCGCGCAACCCCUCACGAAAAGACCUACGCGAUGCUUUAUGAUCGCAGCAACGUUUCCGAGGCAUUACAUUCCUCACGCGCCUACACUCUUCCCGCUUCGAGGCACCGAGGCCGCGACUUUUAGAAGUUUCGUUUUUUACCUCCUACCGAUGAUUUACAAGAAAAGGAAAGAGAGAGAAAAAGCAUACAUUGCUCUCGAAUCGAGAUGCACGUGUUUUACUUGAAGGUGAAAUUCUUUUCCACAAGUUUUUAUCUUGCGAGCCAUAAAAAUACAUGUCGACCGUUUGGAAAUUCCAGUGAUACCAACGAAACAAAAAUCAUUAUAUAACUAGUACAACAAAAUUGUAAUAUAAUAAACUACUUAUUAAUUUUUAAUUUACUUAUAUUAUGUUAAUUUACGAAUUAUAUGUUACAAACUAAUAUACAAAAUUCUCAUAUAAUAAUGUAGUCAUUUCUGUUAUAUUAUUUAAUUUAUAAUAUAAAUAUAAAUAUAAAAAAAGUUCAAAUUUA